AAUACAUGCAAGUAGAACGCUGAAGAGAGGAGCUUGCUCUUCUUGGAUGAGUUGCGAACGGGUGAGUAACGCGUAGGUAACCUGCCUUGUAGCGGGGGAUAACUAUUGGAAACGAUAGCUAAUACCGCAUAACAAUGGAUGACCCAUGUCAUUUAUUUGAAAGGGGCAAAUGCUCCACUACAAGAUGGACCUGCGUUGUAUUAGCUAGUAGGUGAGGUAACGGCUCACCUAGGCGACGAUACAUAGCCGACCUGAGAGGGUGAUCGGCCACACUGGGACUGAGACACGGCCCAGACUCCUACGGGAGGCAGCAGUAGGGAAUCUUCGGCAAUGGGGGCAACCCUGACCGAGCAACGCCGCGUGAGUGAAGAAGGUUUUCGGAUCGUAAAGCUCUGUUGUAAGUCAAGAACGAGUGUGAGAGUGGAAAGUUCACACUGUGACGGUAGCUUACCAGAAAGGGACGGCUAACUACGUGCCAGCAGCCGCGGUAAUACGUAGGUCCCGAGCGUUGUCCGGAUUUAUUGGGCGUAAAGCGAGCGCAGGCGGUUUGAUAAGUCUGAAGUUAAAGGCUGUGGCUCAACCAUAGUUCGCUUUGGAAACUGUCAAACUUGAGUGCAGAAGGGGAGAGUGGAAUUCCAUGUGUAGCGGUGAAAUGCGUAGAUAUAUGGAGGAACACCGGUGGCGAAAGCGGCUCUCUGGUCUGUAACUGACGCUGAGGCUCGAAAGCGUGGGGAGCGAACAGGAUUAGAUACCCUGGUAGUCCACGCCGUAAACGAUGAGUGCUAGGUGUUGGAUCCUUUCCGGGAUUCAGUGCCGCAGCUAACGCAUUAAGCACUCCGCCUGGGGAGUACGACCGCAAGGUUGAAACUCAAAGGAAUUGACGGGGGCCCGCACAAGCGGUGGAGCAUGUGGUUUAAUUCGAAGCAACGCGAAGAACCUUACCAGGUCUUGACAUCCCGAUGCUAUUUCUAGAGAUAGAAAGUUACUUCGGUACAUCGGUGACAGGUGGUGCAUGGUUGUCGUCAGCUCGUGUCGUGAGAUGUUGGGUUAAGUCCCGCAACGAGCGCAACCCCUAUUGUUAGUUGCCAUCAUUCAGUUGGGCACUCUAGCGAGACUGCCGGUAAUAAACCGGAGGAAGGUGGGGAUGACGUCAAAUCAUCAUGCCCCUUAUGACCUGGGCUACACACGUGCUACAAUGGUUGGUACAACGAGUUGCGAGUCGGUGACGGCAAGCUAAUCUCUUAAAGCCAAUCUCAGUUCGGAUUGUAGGCUGCAACUCGCCUACAUGAAGUCGGAAUCGCUAGUAAUCGCGGAUCAGCACGCCGCGGUGAAUACGUUCCCGGGCCUUGUACACACCGCCCGUCACACCACGAGAGUUUGUAACACCCGAAGUCGGUGAGGUAACCUUUUGGAGCCAGCCGCCUAAGGUGGGAUAGAUGAUUGGGGUGAAGUCGUAACAAGGUA
rnacentral:rRNA from 1 species